GGGCCCGCACAAGCGGUGGAUUAUGUGGUUUAAUUCGAAGCAACGCGCAGAACCUUACCUAGGCUUGAAAUCCUACGAACCUGACGGAAAUGUCGGGGUGCCCCUCGGGGAAUGUAGAGACAGGCGCUGCAUGGCUGUCGUCAGCUCGUGUCGUGAGAUGUUGGGUUAAGUCUCGCAACGAGCGCAACCCCUAUCUUUAGUUGCCAGCAUUAAGUUGGGCACUCUAGAGAGACUGCCUGGGUUAACCAGGAGGAAGGUGGGGAUGACGUCAAGUCCUCAUGGCCCUUAUGCCUAGGGCUACACACGUAAUACAAUGGUCGGUACAAAGGGAAGCGAACUCGCGAGGGGGAGCAAAUCUCAAAAAGCCGAUCUCAGUCCGGAUUGGAGUCUGCAACUCGACUCCAUGAAGUUGGAAUCGCUAGUAAUCGCGGAUC
rnacentral:rRNA from 1 species